rnacentral:rRNA from 1 species
UCGGAUUGCAGUUUGCAACUCGACUGCAUGAAGCUGGAAUCGCUAGUAAUCGCGGAUCAGAAUGCCGCGGUGAAUACGUUCCCGGGUCUUGUACACACCGCCCGUCACACCAUGGGAGCCGGGAAUGCCCGAAGUCGGUGACCUAACCGAAAGGAAGGAGCCGCCGAAGGCAGGUCUGGUAACUGGGGGUGAAGUCGUAACAAGGUAGC